AGUAAAUGGUGGAUUCGAUAGGAUUCACUAUAAACAAGAUAAGAACCUUUUAUUGAAUUAAAGUUAAAAUUAGAAGGGACGUCCCAGGCUCUCCUGAAACCGGGUGACGAAAUCCUGAUAAAGGUCAUCAAAAGAAAGUCCUGGGCGACACCCAAGUGGGAAGGACCGUUCCGAGUACUCAUUACCACCCCAACUGCGGUAAAAUCGCAGAACGAAGCACCUGGAUACAUCAGUCUCAGUGCAAGAAGUUGACACCAGACGCUGCCCUUGAGUAAGUGGGAAGACGGACGGUAUCAAAACCCUUGUCCGCCGAAGAAACCAACAGACACUCACUCACCAGCCACA